UACGUAUGGUGCAAGCGUUAUCCGGAUUUACUGGGCGUAAAAGGUGCGUAGGUGGUAUGGCAAGUCAGAAGUGAAGGGCUGGGGCUCAACCCCGGGACUGCUUUUGAAACUGUCAAACUAGAGUACAGGAGAGGAAAGCGGAAUUCCUAGUGUAGCGGUGAAAUGCGUAGAUAUUAGGAGGAACACCAGUGGCGAAGGCGGCUUUCUGGACUGAAACUGACACUGAGGCACGAAAGCGUGGGGAGCAAAC
rnacentral:rRNA from 1 species